rnacentral:tRNA from 1 species
CCCUGAUAGCUCCAUUGGUAAAGAAUCUGCCUGCAGUGCAGGAGACCCCGGUUCGAUUCCUGGAUCAGGAA